rnacentral:rRNA from 1 species
GAUGAACGCUAGCGGCAGGCCUAAUACAUGCAAGUCGAGGGGUAGAAGAGGCUUGCUUCUUUGAGACCGGCGCACGGGUGCGUAACGCGUAUGCAACCUACCUUCAUCUGGGGAUAGCCCGGAGAAAUCCGGAUUAAUACCGCAUAAAAUCACAGGAUGGCAUUAUCCAAUGAUCAAACAUUUAUGGGAUGGAGAUGGGCAUGCGUGUCAUUAGCUAGUUGGCGGGGUAACGGCCCACCAAGGCGACGACGACUAGGGGAUCUGAGAGGAUGGCCCCCCACACUGGUACUGAGACACGGACCAGACUCCUACGGGAGGCAGCAGUAAGGAAUAUUGGUCAAUGGAGGCAACUCCGAACCAGCCAUGCCGCGUGCAGGAAGACUGCCCUAUGGGUUGUAAACUGCUUUUAUUCGGGAAUAAACCUUAUUACGUGUAAUAAGCUGAAUGUACCGAAGGAAUAAGGAUCGGCUAACUCCGUGCCAGCAGCCGCAGUAA